GCCUGGCUGGCUCAGUCGGUGAAACAUGAGACUCUUGAUCUCAGGGUUGUGAGUUUGAACCCCACGCUUGGUG
rfam:Felis catus isolate Cinnamon breed Abyssinian chromosome E1, whole genome shotgun sequence.